AUUGAACGCUGGCGGCAGGCCUAACACAUGCAAGUCGAAAGAGUGGCGGACGGGUGAGUAAUGUCUGGUAAACUGACCGAUGGAGGGGGGUAACUACUGGAACCGGUAGCUAAUACCGCAUACCAUCGGAUGUGCCCAGAUGGGAUUAGCUAGGAGGUGGGGUAACGGCUCACCUAGGCGACGAUCCCUAGCUGGUCUUAGAGGUUGACCAGCCACACUGGAACUGAGACACGGUCCAGACUCCUACGGGAGGCAGCAGGGGGGAAUAUUGCACAAUGGGCGCAAGCCUGAUGCAGCCAUGCCGAGUGUAUGAAGAAGGCCUUCGGGUUGUAAAGUACUUUCAGCGAGGAGGCGUUACUCGCAGAAGAAGCACCGGCUAACUCCGUGCCAGCAGCCGCGGUAAUUC
rnacentral:rRNA from 1 species